rnacentral:rRNA from 1 species
CCAGUGUUCCAUUCCACCGGAGAUAUCCUCUUUUCGCCUCAUCGUCGGAGGAUUGUACAGCCUAUGUAUUCCACGGAAUGGUCUACGCUGAUCUUAACCAGAACCCACUUCUCGUGCCGUUGGAGAUUCUUCGUGGUCAUUCGAGUUCAGAUAGCAGAGGGGUUUUAGACUGCAAAUUCCACCCGAGACAACCGUGGUUGUUCACUGCUGGCACCGACUCAAAGAUCAGGCUUUACUACGAGUGAGACGACGAUGCUUUGA